CGAACAUUGAACCGCAGGUUGUUCCCGCUUAGCAGGCAGAAAAAGUUUAUGGAUAUGUAAAUGGAAUUUCUUUGUCAAGUUAAUUUGUAAGUUUCCCUUUUUCAUUAAUUAAAGGAAAUUGUAAAAUUCAACAAAUUGGAAGAUCAUCUUCGAAGGCUUAGCUUUUCUUGACCUUGUUGCCGUAUUGAUAUGAGAUAUGCAAAAUGGAUGAUCCAUGCAGUUAUAUCCCUGUUUUAUAGACUAUAUAGAGACUAUUUUUG
rnacentral:misc_RNA from 1 species